rnacentral:rRNA from 1 species
UACGUAGGGUGCGAGCGUUACUCGGAAUUACUGGGCGUAAAGGGUGCGUAGGUGGUUUUUUAAGUCCGUUGUGAAAUCCCUGGGCUCAACCUGGGAAUGGCAGUGGAUACUGGAAAGCUAGAGUGCGGUAGAGGGUAGUGGAAUUCCCGGUGUAGCAGUGAAAUGCGUAGAGAUCGGGAGGAACACCAGUGGCGAAGGCGGCUACCUGGACCAGCACUGACACUGAGGCACGAAAGCGUGGGGAGCAAACAGG